rfam:PREDICTED: Petromyzon marinus X-box-binding protein 1-like (LOC116939140), transcript variant X2, mRNA
UGGUGGCCGGGUCCUCCGAGUCAGCAGUGCUCAGGGGAGCUGUACCUCAGCAGUGGGUGCUGACCCGGCCACCA